rnacentral:rRNA from 1 species
GAUGAACGCUGGCGGCGUGCCUAAUACAUGCAAGUCGAGCGAACAGACGAUGUGCUUGCUCCCCUGACGUCACCGGCGGACGGGUGAGUAACGCAUGGAUAACUUACCUAUGAGACAGGUGCAACUACGGGGGACCGGAGCCAAUAACGGAUAAUAUAUUAAAGCGCAAGGAUAGAUAGUGCAAGGCGGCUUUGCAGUCGGUUAUUGUUCUAUCCGCGUCGCAUUAGCUAGUUGGUAAGGUAACGGCUUACCAAGGCAACGAUGCGUAGCCGACCUGAGAGGGUGAUCGGCCACACUGGAACUGAGACACGGUCCAGACUCCUACGGGAGGCAGCAGUAGGGAAUCUUCCGCAAUGGGCGAAAGCCUGACGGAGCAACGCCGCGUGAGUGAUGAAGGUCUUCGGAUCGUAAAACUCUGUUAUUAGGGAAGAACAAAUGUGUAAGUAACUGUGCACGUCUUGACGGUACCUAAUCAGAAAGCCACGGCUAACUACGUG